GAUGAAGAACGUAGCGAAAUGCGAUACGUAAUGUGAAUUGCAGAAUUCAGUGAAUCAUCGAAUCUUUGAACGCAUAUUGCGCUCUUUGGUAUUCCGAAGAGCAUGCUUGUUUGAGUAUCAGUAAACACCUCAAAGCUUUUGGAUUUUUUAAUCGAAAAGCUUUGGACUUGAGCAAUCCCAACACCAAUCUUUUUGAGAUCGGUGGCGGGUUGCUUGAAAUGCAGGUGCAGCUGGACAUUCUCCUGAGCUAAAAGCAUAUUCAUUUAGUCCCGUCAAACGGAUUAUUACUUUUGCUGCAGCUAACAUAAAGGGAGUUUGACCGUAUUGGCUGACUGAUGCAGGAUUUCACAAGGGUCGGCAACGAUUCUUGUUAAACUCGAUCUCAAAUCAAGUAAGACUACCCGCUGAACUUAAGCAUAUCAAUAAGCGGAGAA
rnacentral:misc_RNA from 1 species